rnacentral:rRNA from 1 species
CGAAAGCCUGACGGAGCAACGCCGCGUGAGGGAGGAAGGCUCUUGGGUUGUAAACCUCUUUUCUCAAGGAAGAUAAUGACGGUACUUGAGGAAUCAGCAUCGGCUAACUCCGUGCCAGCAGCCGCGGUAAUACGGAGGAUGCAAGCGUUAUCCGGAAUAAUUGGGCGUAAAGCGUUCGUAGGUGGUGAUGUAAGUCUGCUGUUAAAGCGUGUAGCUUAACUACAUAUAGGCGGUGGAAACUACAUGACUAGAGUGCGUUCGGGGCAGAGGGAAUUCCUGGUGUAGCGGUGAAAUGCGUAUAUAUCAGGAAGAACACCGGUGGCGAAGGCGCUCUGCUAGGCCGUAACUGACACUGAGGGACGAAAGCUAGGGGAGCG